rnacentral:lncRNA from 1 species
AUAUGAAAUACUUUUGCUCUGGAUGGGUUGUUUGCAGGGGUAUCCCAGGGAAUGAGGAAUACAAUGUGACUCGAGAGGGUUCUUUGGGAAUGCAUUCUCGGAGAUGAAGAAGUGCUGAGAGGGUGUGCCUUUGCUGUGGAAGGCGAAGGUAAAUACUUAUAGGACUUUUCUUCACAACCGGAACUAUUCCCUCACUCAUUGUCGGCAGCCGGUGGAUGAAUGAAUAGCACAAAUUACGCGCUUUCUGACAAAGCUGCCCGUAAUUUCCGCAAAGCUGAUUCCUCAUUGAUAUCUGGAAUCGGCGCUUCGAGCUCUGAGCAUCGUCGAUUGUAGAG